CUAAAAGGCUGGGUCUUGCCGGCUGCACUGGGGUCCCAGCCUUGAAAGGAAGGGCGCCUUGGGCUCUUGGGGGAAUGAAGCCGGGACCUGGAUUUAUGGGGGCAGUCGAGUGAGAGCCUUAACUCUGCACUCUCUUAUUCUGUUGAUGACUGUUUCAUUUAUGCUUCCUGGACCAGUGUUGCAUGGUUUACCACCAGCCUCCCCAGUCACCCUUAUCAUCAGCAGGUGACCUAAAGAAUCAAUCUCCAUUCAAAACAACAACAACAGCAAAACGAAGCAAAAAGCAGACUGUGGCCUUACCAAAACCGGACACAUCCAAGCAAUAAAGUGGAAGACUAACCAAGAUGUGGACAUUAGAAUGUUUACUGUUAUUCUUUACAAAACAAACAAUUACAAAGAAAAAAUGUCAGCAAAAUUAUCCAGCAAGCAGAGGUCCCGGAAUGCUUCCACAGACACUAGAGCAACCUCUUCAGUUUCAGCAGCCACUAGGUUUAUAUAUUUUUUCCUGCUUUUAUUUU